UACGUAGGCAGCAAGCGUUGUUCGGAGUUACUGGGUGUAAAGGGUGCGUAGGUGGCUCUAUAAGUAUGGUGUGAAAUCUCCCGGCUCAACUGGGAGGGUGCGGUGGAGACUGCCGGACUGGAGGCACUCAGAGGCCGGUGGAAUUCCCGGUGUAGUGGUGAAAUGCGUAGAGAUCGGGAGGAACACCAGUGGCGAAGGCGGCCGGCUGGGGGUGACCUGACGCUGAGGCGCGAAAGCGUGGGGAGCGAACCGG
rnacentral:rRNA from 1 species